GAAAGACUGAAGGAAGAAAAAGGAUGGAAAAGUAGGAGAAGCUUGGUGGCUAAAUAAGUGCCUUCGUGCUUGAUCUUGAACAUAAUCGGCAUAGGUGGUAUAUGCCAGAGCCAAUAUCAGCUAGAAGCAGCGGCGGCAGCAGCAGUUCUUUUUACACCAAGGCUCUAUCUUUACUGCUAUAUGCAUAAGUGCUGCUAGAGGCCAGUAAAACAAAUCCAUCGCUCAUCUCUGUUUUAUCAGAACUUGAGUCCUGAGUAUGCAGCACUGGUUGUAUCAGGAAAGAACGAGUACCUCUGGGGAGGAUCUCCCAUAGUUCUGUAGUUGAAAGGCACUAUAAACAAUUAUCUACAGGUGGACGCUUCAAAACGGAAUUUUUCACAGCAUGUAAGCAUUGACAAGAGUUGCAUUGACCUGGUUCCACUGGACCACGACCUGUUAGAUGCUUGUACCACGUGCAGAGCUAUUUGUAUAUCCUAGAAAGGUACAACCAUUUCAAGCAGGUCGGUGCACAAGACCUGUUCGUUUCAUUUCUGUGUGUACUCUGAUGAGCAUAACUAACAUCCCAAACACUCAAUUGCGCAUAUUAAUGCCCUUUGUAAAUGAUAAUUCAACAGCAUGCUUUCUUUUAUUAUCAUUAUUAUUUCUCUAACAUCAAAUCAAGUACCUAAAAAAGAAAACACCAGAUCAAAUGUUUACGCCUACUGAAUCUGCAAUUACAUGCCUUUUUCUUUCAUAAUCAUUUUUCUGAAGAUUGAAAGAAAGAUAAUACAAGCUUAGGUAAGACUAUUCACCUUGGCCUAAAAAAAAAAAACAAAA